rnacentral:tRNA from 1 species
GGAGAGGUGGCCGAGUGGCUUAAGGCGGCGGUUUGCUAAAUCGCUGGCGCGAAAGCGCCUCGCAGGUUCGAAUCCUGUCCUCUCCG